rnacentral:rRNA from 1 species
UACGUAGGGCGCAAGCGUUAUCCGGAAUUAUUGGGCGUAAAGAGCUCGUAGGCGGUUUGUCGCGUCUGCCGUGAAAGUCCGGGGCUCAACUCCGGAUCUGCGGUGGGUACGGGCAGACUAGAGUGAUGUAGGGGGGACUGGAAUUCCUGGUGUAGCGGUGAAAUGCGUAGAUAUCGGGAGGAACACCAGUGGCGAAGGCGAUUAUCUGGGGUGAAUCUGACGCUGAGGAACGAAAGCUAGGGGAGCAAACGGG